rnacentral:rRNA from 1 species
GAGUUUGAUCCUGGCUCAGAUUGAACGCUGGCGGCAGGCCUAACACAUGCAAGUCGAACGGUAACAGGAAGAAGCUUGCUUCUUUGCUGACGAGUGGCGGACGGGUGAGUAAUUUCUGGGAAACUGCCUGAUGGAGGGGGAUAACUACUGGAAACGGUAGCUAAUACCGCAUAACGUCGCAAGACCAAAGAGGGGGACCUUCGGGCCUCUUGCCAUCGGAUGUGCCCAGAUGGGAUUAGCUUGUUGGUGGGGUAACGGCUCACCAGGGCGACGAUCCCUAGCUGGUCUGAGAGGAUGACCAGCCACACUGGAACUGAGACACGGUCCAGACUCCUACGGGAGGCAGCAGUGGGGAAUAUUGCACAAUGGGCGCAAGCCUGAUGCAGCCAUGCCGCGUGUAUGAAGAAGGCCUUCGGGUUGUAAAGUACUUUCAGCGGGGAGGAAGGGAGUAAAGUUAAUACCUUUGCUCAUUGACGUUACCCGCAGAAGAAGCACCGGCU